UUCUUCAUCCUGAACCAAAAA
ensembl:piRNA 21ur-14309 ncRNA